rnacentral:rRNA from 1 species
GCAUAUCAAUAAGCGGAGGAAAAGAAACCAACAGGGAUUGCCUUAGUAACGGCGAGUGAAGCGGCAAAAGCUCAAAUUUGAAAUCUGGCACCUUCGGUGUCCGAGUUGUAAUUUGAAGAAGGUAACUUUGGAGUUGGCUCUUGUCUAUGUUCCUUGGAACAGGACGUCACAGAGGGUGAGAAUCCCGUGCGAUGAGAUGCCCAAUUCUAUGUAAAGUGCUUUCGAAGAGUCGAGUUGUUUGGGAAUGCAGCUCUAAGUGGGUGGUAAAUUCCAUCUAAAGCUAAAUAUUGGCGAGAGACCGAUAGCGAACAAGUACAGUGAUGGAAAGAUGAAAAGAACUUUGAAAAGAGAGUGAAAAAGUACGUGAAAUUGUUGAAAGGGAAGGGCUUGAGAUCAGACUUGGUAUUUUGCGAUCCUUUCCUUCUUGGUUGGGUUCCUCGCAGCUUACUGGGCCAGCAUCGGUUUGGAUGGUAGGAUAAUGACUAAGGAAUGUGGCUCUACUUCGGUGGAGUGUUAUAGCCUUGGUUGAUACUGCCUGUCUAGACCGAGGACUGCGUCUUUGACUAGGAUGUUGGCAUAAUGAUCUUAAGCCACCCGUCUUGAAACACGGACC